rnacentral:rRNA from 1 species
AUUGAACGCUGGCGGCGUGCCUAACACAUGCAAGUCGAGCGGUAACAGGUGUAGCAAUACAUGCUGACGAGCGGCGGACGGGUGAGUAACGCUUGGGAAUCUGCCUAUUAGUGGGGGACAACCCGGGGAAACUCGGGCUAAUACCGCAUACGCUCUACGGAGGAAAGCCGGGGACCGCAAGGCCUGGCGCUAAUAGAUGAGCCCAAGUCGGAUUAGCUAGUUGGUAGGGUAAUGGCCUACCAAGGCGACGAUCCGUAACUGGUCUGAGAGGACGACCAGUCACACCGGAACUGAGACACGGUCCGGACUCCUACGGGAGGCAGCAGUGGGGAAUAUUGGACAAUGGGCGAAAGCCUGAUCCAGCGACGCCGCGUGGGUGAAGAAGGCCUGCGGGUUGUAAAGCCCUUUCAGCAGGGACGAAGCGAAAGUGACUGUACCUGCAGAAGAAGCACCGGCUAACUACGUGCCAGCAGCCGCAGU